UCUCAAAGAUUAAGCCAUGCAUGUCUCAGUGCAAGCCGAAUCAAGGUGAAACCGCGAAUGGCUCAUUAAAUCAGUUAUGGUUCCUUGGAUGGUGCACGGUUACUUGGAUAACUGUGGCAAUUCUAGAGCUAAUACAUGCAACCUGGUCCCGACCGGAGACGGAAGGGACGCUUUUAUUAGAUCAAAACCAAUCGGUCCGAUCCAAACGGGCCGUUUGUCUUGGUGACUCUGAAUAAACGAAUGCUGAUCGCACGGCCUUCGAGCCGGCGACGCAUCCUUCAAAUGUCUGCCUUAUCAACUGUCGAUGGUAGGUUCUGCGCCUACCAUGGUUGUAACGGGUAACGGGGAAUCAGGGUUCGAUUCCGGAGAGGGAGCCUGAGAAAUGGCUACCACAUCCAAGGAAGGCAGCAGGCGCGCAAAUUACCCACUCCCGGCACGGGGAGGUAGUGACGAAAAAUAACGAUACGGGACUCAUCCGAGGCCCCGUAAUCGGAAUGAGCACACUUUAAAUCCUUUAACGAGUAUCCAUUGGAGGGCAAGUCUGGUGCCAGCCGCCGCGGUAAUUCCAGCUCCAAUAGCGUAUAUUAAA
rnacentral:rRNA from 1 species